AACCUCCUCAAUGCACUUACGUGCGAAGGGGCUACCUCGAGUGCCACCUGAUGAAGGUGGCUUUUCCUAGGUCUAAAAAGCCUUGGGAAUAAGAGGGGGGCAAGACUGGUGUCAGCCGCCGCGGUAACACCAGCCCCUCGAGUGGUGGGGAUGAUUAUUGGGCCUAAAGCGUCCGUAGCCUGCCGUGUAAGUUUCCCGUUAAAUCCAGCGUCUUAAGCGUUGGACCGCGGGAAAUACUGUACGGCUAGAGAGUGGGAGAGGUCAGCGGUAUUCUGGGGGUAGGGGCGAAAUCCUUUGAUCCCCGGAGGACCACCAGUGGCGAAGGCUGCUGUCUAGAACACGUCUGACGGUCAGGGACGAAAGCUGGGGUAGCGAACCGGAUUAGAUACCCGGGUAGUCCCAGCCGUAAACGAUGCAUGCUAGGUGUUGGGUUGGCCACGUGCCACCCCAGUGCCGCAGGGAAGCCGUUAAGCAUGCCGCCUGGAAGUACGAUCGCAAGU
rnacentral:rRNA from 1 species